rnacentral:lncRNA from 1 species
GUGGCUUUGAGGUUUAUUUUCAUGUGUAUCAAUAUCAAAAGGCUGAAGGUACUUUGGGCAUCAGGCACAGUUUGACCAAGACUUAACCUUGGCUUCUCUGCUUCUGUCUCCUCUGCUUUCCAGGGUUUCUCUUCAGAGUGGCAUAUUUCAUAGUCCCAGGAAGGAUGCCAGCAGAAAACAGGAGAGGUCUGGGGAGCCCCUGGAGUUUUGGCUGCCUCCUGAGAAGCCCCGUGCAGGGUGGCCAUCUCUGCCUGCUUGUGAAGUGACCCUGGUGCCUGCUAUGGGGUGUAGCUGGGAGACCGGUGCUCCCCACACAGAGGCUAGAAGCUGGAUUUCCUCAGAGCAGCCCGGCCUGGGUGCCUCUGUCUUCCUCUGCCAGCUCGGAGAAGCCACUGCAGUCCCAGCCCAGGCACCAGCUCCGGUGGCACAGAGGGCCAGGCCCUUGCUCUGCUCCCACAGACCCUGCUUGUCCCAGGGACCUGGCUGUGUCCGGGGUGGACAUGCUUGCUGA